rnacentral:tRNA from 1 species
AUUUAUAUAGUAUAAAAAUUAUUUUUAACUUCCAAUUAAAAGAUCUAUAAAUAGUAUAAAUA